rnacentral:rRNA from 1 species
AGGACGAACGCUGGCGGCGUGCCUAACACAUGCAAGUGGAGCGACGAACCAGGCUUCGGCCUGGGGCAAAGCCGCGAACGGGUGAGUAACACGUGGGUAACCUGCCCCGAUGAUUGGGACAACCCGAGGAAACUCGGGCUAAUACCGAAUGUGCCCUCCGACCAUAAGGUCGCUGGGGAAAGGAAGCUUCGGCCUCCGCAUCGGGAUGGGCCCGCGGCCCAUUAGCUUGUUGGUGAGGUAACGGCUCACCAAGGCUGCGAUGGGUAGCUGGUCUGAGAGGACGAUCAGCCACACUGGGACUGAGACACGGCCCAGACUCCUACGGGAGGCAGCAGUGGGGGAAUCUUGCGCAAUGCGCGAAAGCGUGACGCAGCAACGCCGCGUGGGGGAAGAAGGCCUUCGGGUUGUAAAGCUCUUUUGUGCGGGAAGAUAAUGACGGUACCGCAAGAAUAAGGCCCGGCCAACUACGUGCCAGCAGCCGC